UACGAAGGGAGCUAGCGUUGUUCGGAAUUACUGGGCGUAAAGGGCGUGUAGGCGGUAUCAUAAGUCAGAUGUGAAAGCCCCAGGCUUAACCUGGGAGGUGCAUUUGAUACUGUGGAACUAGAGAUCGAGAGAGGAAAGUGGAAUUACGAGUGUAGAGGUGAAAUUCGUAGAUAUUCGUAAGAACACCAGUGGCGAAGGCGACUUUCUGGCUCGAUACUGACGCUAAGGCGCGAAAGCGUGGGGAGCAAACAGG
rnacentral:rRNA from 1 species